UAAGUUAAUACCUUAUAGCCGUGAUGUUACCUGCAGAAUAAGCACCGGCUAAUUCCGUGCCAGCAGCCGCGGUAAUACGGAAGGUGCAAGCGUUAAUCGGAAUUACUGGGCGUAAAGCGCGCGUAGGUGGUUUGUUAAGUUGGAUGUGAAAGCCCUGGGCUCAACCUAGGAACUGCAUCCAAAACUAACUCACUAGAGUACGAUAGAGGGAGGUAGAAUUCAUAGUGUAGCGGUGGAAUGCGUAGAUAUUAUGAAGAAUACCAGUGGCGAAGGCGGCCUCCUGGAUCUGUACUGACACUGAGGUGCGAAAGCGUGGGUAGCGAACAGGAUUAGAUACCCUGGUAGUCCACGCCGUAAACGAUGACAACUAGCUGUUGGGAGACAAUGUUUCUCAGUGGCGCAGCUAACGUUUUAAGUUGUCCGCCUGGGGAGUACGGCCGCAAGGCUAAAACUCAAAUGAAUUGACGGGGACCCGCACAAGCGGUGGAGCAUGUGGUUUAAUUCGAUGCAACGCGAAAAACCUUACCUACUCUUGACAUACUUGGAAGCUCUUGUAAUGAGAGUGUGCCUUUUGGAGCCAAGAUACAGGUGCUGCAUGGCUGUCGUCAGCUCGUGUCGUGAGAUGUUCCGUUAAGUCGGAUAACGAGCGCAACCCUUACCCUUAUUUGCCAGCGAUUCGGUCGGGAACUAUAAGGGGACUGCCGGUGAUAAACCGGAGGAAGGUGAGGACGACGUCAAGUCAUCAUGGCCCUUACGAGUAGGGCUACACACGUGCUACAAUGGGGAAUACAGACGGACGCUAAGCCGCGAGGUGGUGCUAAUCCUAGAAAGUUCUUCGUAGUCCGGAUUGGAGUCUGCAACUCGACUCCAUGAAGUCGGAAUCGCUAGUAAUCGCGAAUCAGCAUGUCGCGGUGAAUACGUUCUCGGGUC
rnacentral:rRNA from 1 species